GCGGGAAUAGCUCAGUUUGUAGAGCACGACCUUGCCAAGGUCGGGGUCGCGAGUUCGAGUCUCGUUUCCCGCUCCA
rnacentral:tRNA from 2 species